rnacentral:lncRNA from 1 species
UGCCUGUGUGCUCCUCCACCCUCCUUGCACAGAAAGGUACAAGUCUUGACCUCCACAUUAAAAGUUCCACUUGGAUAUCUGGGAGCUGACUUGGCUUUGUUCUCCUGGACCUACCCAUGCAAGUGUUUGCAGGCUUUUAAAAGUACAAGGAAAAAAGCCUCAACCAAGAACUUUGUCUUCGUGCCUGAAAUGAUGCCUUCAGUGAAGUCAGUGGCAGAACUAUGGAUGUCAAGAGCUGUAGGAUUUGACCUCUGGGCUUUGGAGCUGAGUUGGCAAGAAAGAACAAAUAAAUCCUGCAAAAUGAUAUAUGAACUUUACAAUCUGUGCCUCAUGUC